rnacentral:tRNA from 1 species
GUUAAGGUGGCAGAGCCCGGCAAAUGCAAAAGACCUAAGCCCUUUGAACAGAGGUUCAACUCCUCUCCUUAGCU